GGGUUCUACUCUGGAAAGGCAUCUUGGAAACCUGGAAGAGAAGAGGGGCUAGGCGGUGCGAGAGGAAGAUGUAGCUAAGACAGUCAUUCUGAUCAAAGCUCAAUUUUACUAUUCCGACACGCAGUUAUGAAGGAGGGGAAGGGGGCCCAAUUCCCGCCAAAUAAUCCUGGAGUCCAGUAGCAGGGUGACCACGUGUAUGGCUCCGGAACAGCAAAGCAGCAGGCUCCAGCAGUGGGCAUGGCAGAACAUUGAGAGGCAAGCUCCAUCCCAAUGUAAACAGUGGAACCUGAGCAGGAGGUAUGUGUUACUUUUAUAAACACACGGGCAAGGA
rnacentral:lncRNA from 1 species